UGGGGAAUAUUGCACAAUGGGCGCAAGCCUGAUGCAGCCAUGCCGCGUGUGUGAAGAAGGCCUUCGGGUUGUAAAGCACUUUCAGCGGGGAGGAAGGCGAUAAGGUUAAUAACCUUGUCGAUUAACGUUACCCGCAGAAGAAGCACCGGCUAACUCCGUGCCAGCAGCCGCGGUAAUACGGAGGGUGCAAGCGUUAAUCGGAAUUACUGGGCGUAAAGCGCACGCAGGCGGUCUGUCAAGUCGGAUGUGAAAUCCCCGGGCUCAACCUGGGAACUGCAUUCGAAACUGGCAGGCUAGAGUCUUGUAGAGGGGGGUAGAAUUCCAGGUGUAGCGGUGAAAUGCGUAGAGAUCUGGAGGAAUACCGGUGGCGAAGGCGGCCCCCUGGACAAAGACUGACGCUCAGGUGCGAAAGCGUGGGGAGCAAACAGG
rnacentral:rRNA from 1 species